rnacentral:lncRNA from 1 species
AAAGAAUCAUCAAUAAAAUAUAUACCGCAAUGGAGGGCAUGAGUCAAACGACUAACAGAUGCAAGAUUAUAAGGACAGCCAGGGACAUAAAGAACGGAAUCUAGAGUGACAGAGGGUAGGGGAUUCGCUUGUCCAACUCCUUUUGCUUUAGUUUGAGAACCAUUGGCUAAAGUAACGUUGGGAAGAAACUGUGAAUAUGCAAUAUUUGACAAGGAUUUAUUACUAGAGAUAUGAUCAGAAGCAACUGAGUCCACAAUCCAUUGUUCAACAGGACUAGACUGGGAAACACAAGCAAAAGAAUUACCAGCAACAGAAGUAUCAGUCUUAGCAACAGAGGCUACUUGUGGAGAUGUCUGCUUACUUGCUCGAUAUUUAAGGAACUCAUUAUACUCCCCUUCAGAUACAGAAAAUCCCUG